CAUUUUCUUUAGUUUUAAUAUUAGAUAAAGUCUGCCCACUGAGUAUUAAAGGGCCGCAGUAUUCUAACUGUGCAAAGGUAGCAUAAUCAUUUGCCCCCUAAUUAGGGGAUUGGAUGAAUGGCUUAACAAUCUAGUUUUUUUUUAUUAUUAUUUUAAUGAAUUUAAUUUUUUGGUGAUAAUUCCUUAUUAAUAUUUAUAGACGAUAAGACCCUAUAGAUCUUUAUUUUUUAAACUAGUAUGGUUUAUUGGGGAUGAUAUAUUUUAAUUUAAAUUGUUUUACUGGGGAAGUAAAAGAGUGAGUUUUUUCUCUUUAGAGUUAGUUUUUUUAAUUUAAAUGAUCUUUAUUUUUAAUUUAAAAAGUUACCUUAGGGAUAACAGCGUAAUAUAUUUGGUGAGUUCAUAUCGAUAAACUAUCUUGCGACCUCGAUGUUGAAUUAAGGUUAAUUUUUGGGGUAGAUUUUAUUUUAUUGAGUCUGUUCGACUAUUAUGAUCUUACAUGAUUUGA
rnacentral:rRNA from 1 species